rnacentral:rRNA from 1 species
AUUGAACGCUGGCGGCAUGCCUUACACAUGCAAGUCGAACGGCAGCAUGGGUGCUUGCACCUGAUGGCGAGUGGCGAACGGGUGAGUAAUGCAUCGGAACGUACCCGGAAGUGGGGGAUAACGUAGCGAAAGUUACGCUAAUACCGCAUAUUCGGUGAGCAGGAAAGAGGGGGAUCGCAAGACCUCUCGCUUUCGGAGCGGCCGAUGUCGGAUUAGCUAGGUGGCGGGGAAAAGGCCCACCAAGGCAACGAUCCGUAGCGGGUCUGAGAGGAUGAUCCGCCACACUGGGACUGAGACACGGCCCAGACUCCUACGGGAGGCAGCAGUGGGGAAUUUUGGACAAUGGGCGCAAGCCUGAUCCAGCCAUGCCGCGUGAGUGAAGAAGGCCUUCGGGUUGUAAAGCUCUUUCGGCCGGGAAGAAAUCGCACAGGUUAAUACCCUGUGUGGAUGACGGUACCGGAAUAAGAAGCACCGGCUAACUACGUGCCAGCCGCCGCGGUAA